ensembl:ncRNA F49E10.11 ncRNA
UGAAAUGAGUAAAAUAAAAGGGAAGAAGCGGAAUGAAGAAACAAUAAAAAUUGCAUGCGUUGAGUGCAAAUUGGCGGUCGAAAAGUUCA